GGCUUCUGUUUCCGGGUGGCCUCCCGAGGCCGGCGCACAAGAUGGCUGUCUGCUGGAGGCGGCCGAGCCGGAGUAUUGUGCUCUAGCGCGGGGCGGGGGCUGGAGAGGUUUUCAUUCACUCUAUGGGCAGACGGGGCGGCGCCGCCGGUCCUCUUGAGGUGUCAGGUCCACUCGCUGCUGUUCCCGGUCCCCACCGCCUUCCCAGACCUCCCCCGGGGUGGAGCCUAGCAAAGGUCGGGCCGGCUGCCCGAGUAUCCUUGCCCCGGGGCGGUCGCUGUGAGUGGCUCACUUUUAGAAUUGACUUUCGCCACGUGCGGGGUCCAUGGCUGCUUUGCCGGCGUCGGGGGAGAAGAUUAACAUCCAGGCAGGAGAGACAGCCAAGGUCGAGGACAUGGAUUCGCUCGGGAAUGACUGGCCCGAGCCGGACAGGCCUCCCCAGCGCUCCCGCGGGCAGAAAUGCGCUUCCUACGUGCUGGCCCUGAGGCCCUGGAGCUUCAGUGCCUCGCUCACCCCGGUAGCCCUGGGCAGUGCCUUGGCAUACAGAUCCCAGGGCGUCCUGGAUCCUAGACUCUUGGUGGGUUGUGCCGUCGCUGUCCUGGCUGUGCACGGGGCCGGCAAUUUGGUCAACACUUACUAUGACUUUUCCAAGGGCAUUGACCACAAGAAGAGUGAUGACCGGACGCUAGUGGACCGAAUCUUGGAGCCUAAAGACGUUGUUCGGCUCGGAGUCUUCCUUUACACCUUGGGCUGCAUCUGUGCUGCUUGCCUCUACUACCUGUCCCCUUUGAAACUGGAGCACUUGGCUCUCAUCUACUUUGGGGGCUUGUCUGGCUCUUUUCUCUACACAGGAGACAGGGUCUUGAAGUUCAGGCUGGCCUCAAACUCAUUGGGAACCUCCUGCCUCGGCCUCCCAAGUGCUGGGAUUUCAGUCCUUCUCAGGCAUGUCGAGCUCAACAUGACCGAAAUCAAACUCCUGAUGUUCUGCCCCUACGUACCUGCCUUCCCCAUUUCAUUCAGUGAUGGUGGUGGUGGCUGUGUUCACAGUGCGGGGGAUCAGACUCCAAGCCGUGAGUGUGCUGGGCAAGCACUGUACCACUGCGCUCCGUCCCCAGCCCCUUUCCUUCCAGUUCUCCAGGCCCAGAGUCACGGCAUCCUCCUGGGCUCAUCUCAGGUCUCAUCCAGCUCAUCCGCAAACCCUGUUUUCAUUCAAAAUACAUUCAGGGCCUGACUGCUUCUGUUUAGAACGCUCUUCCCCAUCUGGCUGUAUGGUUCACUCUGUGGCUUCCUUCACCCUUUGCCCAAACGUCCGCUGCUCAGCGAGGCCUUGCUUUCUGCCUUAUUUAAAAUCACAUGCCCUCGCCGUGUGUCCCUCCACCCCAGGUACCCUCUCCCAUUGCUCUCCUCUGCUUUAUUUUCUGCACAGCACAUAUUGUCCUUGAAUGCAUGCACACCAUAUACAAUACGCCUUCGGCUCGUUAAUUUCCCCGAGGCUUGAGCUCCUUGUGGUCAGGGAUUUCUCUCCUUGUUCUCAGCUGAACCCCUAGUGCCCAGUGCAGCACCUGGUAGGUGGUGCCUAACCUGCUUCUCCAAUGAACAAACAGGAAGACCUUGAGAAUGUUAAGUAGGGCAGCGAUGUAAGCAGACUUAGCUGUCACAUGGGUUAGCUUUGCCUGGUCUAAAACAUUGUGCAGAUGGGACUAUUUUGCUGUACAGCAUAUUUAUUUCACUACAAGCGCUUAUGUCUGGCUUCUUUGGCUCAGUAUGAUGUUUUCAGAAUACAUGAAGUUGUUAUGUGUGUCAGUAACUCCUUUUUUUGCUUAAAUAGCACUCCUUUGAUGAUUAUACCACAUUUCAUUCUCCCAUUCAGGGGCCUGUGUGUAUUUGGCUAUUUCUCUUGGGUAAAUGCCUAGAAGUGGAGCUGUGAGGGCACAGGAUAGGUGAUAUUUCAUUUUGUGAGAAACUUCCAGACCAUUUUUGGAAGUGGAUCCUAUUUCACAUUCCUACCAGCAAUGCAUGAUCGUUCCAGUGGCUCCACAUCCUUGCCAACGCUUUGAUUUAUGUCUUCACAGAUCAAUUCUGGCUGCUGUGUGACAAGAACCUCAGUGUGUCACUGUGUCUCAUUCAGAAAAUGGGGUUGAGGGGUUGAGUAUGUCUGGAAGGAAACUCCUGUGUGGAAUGAAUACAUAGAUAUACACAUAUAUGUAUAUAUUUUAAAAAAUUUUUUGGCACUGGGGAUUGAACCCCAGGCCUUCAAACUGAGCUACAUCCCUGGCUUUUAAAAAUUUUUUCAUGUUAAGGCAAGGUCAAGCUAAGCUGUCCUGGCUGGGGUUGAAAUUGCAAUCCUCCUGCCUCGGCCUCCCAAAAUACUAGGAUUACAGCACCAAAAGAAUAAUAGAGCCUUUGAGGAGAGAGCCCUGUACCACCAUGCCCUGUUGAGCCACAUUUGUAGUUCAGACUGUUCUGAACUUGCUUUGUAGCCCAGGCUGACCUUGAACUUAUGCCGAUCCUCCUGCCUCAGCCUCCUGAGUGCUGGGAUUACAGGCCUGCCCCCCCAUUCUGCACAUGCCCCAUUUCCAAGCCAGGUAGAUCACAGCGAGGGUCAUAUAUCCACCACUUAGGCUCUCUCCCAGGAGCUGUCAUUGUUUGGUGCCAGAUAACUGCAAGAAGGUUGUCAGACCUUUCUCUCCUUGAGUGGGUUUGUGCUUGUUUUUUGUCCAGGCCCUGUUUAGAAUGGGGACCUGCGUCUCUGCUCUGCUUCACAAAAGUCAGUUUUCUGUGGUGAUAUGAGGAGGUGUUCUUGGAGAAUCCAGCCAAAGGCCAGGGCUGUCGUGCUGUUGUGUUUUCUUCCAAGCCAGAGCUCUGGUGUUGGCAUGAGGCAAGAGAGGGGCAGCAGUGGGUGGAGGAGCUCGCUGGUGGUGGCCGGGUGCAUUCCGGCCUGGAAUCCUCGCUGGGCAGGGAAACCCCUAAAUGCUAGAGACAUUGCAAGGGGCGUCAGUUUACUGAUUCAGGGAGCUGGUGUCGGCUGGGAGAGACUUCCUCCGGAGGGCGUGUCCUCAGAGAGCCCAGUUAUGGAGAGCCGCGGGCUCGGGCACAGAACUCGCCUGCUGGUGUUCAGGGAGCCUCGGGGCCAUGCCAGCGCCCUUCUUUCUGGGGAUGCUCCUGUCCAAUGAACCCAGAGUGCUCAUUUUGCACCAACACACCCAGCUACUAUGAAAGUUAACCCCUGGCUUUGGUGCUUUGCAGUCCUCUGCAGACCGUUGUCACUUGCUGUUUCAGGGUGGUUAAAAUGUGCUUGAUCACCUGAGAGUUUUCUUUGUUUUGGAUCCUGAGGCACCUUGUGGAUUGGUCACACCCUACAUCACCUCCUCGCCCACCCCAUCUGGAAGCCAGUUAGGAGGGGGUUGCUGUCUUCCAGGCAUCCAAUGACCCUGACUUGGACUUGGCAAUGGAGUGAGGAAUUGGAUUCAAGUAUGUGGCCCUGGGAGACCUCAUCAUCCUCAUCACUUUCGGCCCUCUGGCCGUGAUGUUCGCCUAUGCCGUCCAGGUGGGCUCGCUGGCGAUCUUCCCUCUGGUCUACGCCAUCCCCCUGGCCCUCAGCACCGAGGCCAUUCUCC